GUUUUGAUAAAUCUCCCUCAAAGUAGCUGGCUAUCAUUAGGAAGACAUAGCUCAUCAGUCCUGUUUACUGGCCUGAAUUUUAUGGAAUGACAGACAGAUUGGCUCUGCAGUUAACCCCAUGAUGCCUCAGCACAGCAUCAUAGGGUGAGCUAGAUUCAGUACCAUGUCUCCCUGCAGACCGAUCAGUUGAAAAAUAUAAUCUUUGUCAUUAGAACAGUUGGACAGGAGCCAGUCUAAUCACUAGCAG